GUUAGGCCUAAAAAAAAAAUGUUGUGUUUCCGGUCACCCGACCGACCGUCCUUCAGACCCCGACCCAAAAGUUUUUAAAGCUGAUGUGGGAAAAAAAAUAAUUUGUAUACCUACCGACCGUUUUUUCUGAAAGAAAAUAAAAAAUUCUAAGUCCCUCGAUCUUUUUAUCGCCCCAAAAGAAAACAACGAUAAUUUUAAACUCGAGGCUUAUUUUUAGAAUGUACUGGAAAGUGGAAUCUUCUUGGCUAAUUAUAUUUGCGGGAGCAUGCGUAGU
rnacentral:lncRNA from 1 species